AGAUAGCCAUUUAAUACGACAUCUGUCACCCCAUUGAUCGCCAGGGUUGAUCUGGCUGAUCUGGCUGGCUAGGCGGGUGUCCCCUUCCUCCCUCACCGCUCCAUGUGUGUCCCUCCCGAAGCUGCGCGCUUGGUCGAAGAGGAUGACCAUCCCCGAUAGAGGAGGACCUUUCUUCGGUCAAGGUUAUAUGAGUAGCUGAGCUCCCCUGCUAGAACCUCCAAACAAGCUCUCAAGAUAGCCAUUUAAAAAAGUUUUUAUUAAAAUGAAACCAAAGUGUUAGUAUACUUACAUGUAUAAGACCAGUAAACAUUUUUCUCAUUUCCUU
rnacentral:snRNA from 1 species